rnacentral:rRNA from 1 species
GACGAACGCUGGCGGCGUGCUUAACACAUGCAAGUCGAACGGAGCGAAUGAAAGCUUGCUUUUAUGAGCUUAGUGGCAAACGGGUGAGUAACACGUAGACAACCUGCCGACAGGAUGGGGACAACAUUCCGAAAGGAAUGCUAAUACCGAAUGAAGCGGAGGAGAGGCAUCUCUCCUGCGUGAAAGAUGGCCCCUUUUUAUGCUAUCACCUGUUGAUGGGUCUGCGUCUGAUUAGCUGGUUGGUGAGGUAACAGCUCACCAAGGCGACGAUCAGUAGCCGGUCUGAGAGGAUGAACGGCCACAUUGGGACUGAGACACGGCCCAGACUCCUACGGGAGGCAGCAGUGGGGAAUCUUCCGCAAUGGGCGCAAGCCUGACGGAGCAACGCCGCGUGAGUGAAGAAGGUCUUCGGAUCGUAAAGCUCUGUUGACGGGGACGAACGUGCGGGGUGCGAAUAGCGCUUUA